rnacentral:misc_RNA from 1 species
CCCAACUAUCCCUAUUAAUCAUUACGUCAAUCCUAGAAACCAACAAAAUAGAAUCAAACGUCCUAUUUCAUUAUUCCAUGCUAAUGUAUUCAAGUGUGCGCCUGCUUUAAACACUCUAAUUUUUUCAAAGUAACAGUCCUGAUUCCCCACGACACCAAAUUAAUGACAUCGUAGUUCUUCAGAAGGUAGGAACCAAUAAUGCCAGUGUGUACCGAAGCACGACCGACAAUUUGAUCCCGAAAUUCAACUACGAGCUUUUUAACUGCAACAACUUUAAUAUAUGCUAUUGGAGCUGGAAUUACCGCAGCUGCUGGCACCAGACUUGCCCUCCAA